AUGUUUAUGCUCAUAGGGGGACCUCCACUAGCAUCUAGUAGAGUAAGAUUUACCUCUCUGAUAAGAACAAUUUCAAAAAAUGGACAAAUGAAACUAUAUUUGGCCUCUCUUUCUCAACAUGAAACUGCGCUGGAUGCCCUAUUGCUAUUGAGGAUAAAAAGGAGACAAGGCAUUCCCAUCAAAAUGGAUGUGGUCUCAAUUGUUCUGCAAGCUGGCCCAGGUCCUUUACGCAAUGAGAUGAUGGUAUAAACUUGAAAACGAAUAGGUUGCUCCCUUUCCAACACCGGAGGAAGCCAGCCAGAUGGAAGUGGGGGUGACAACAUGGAUGGGUCAUGGGGAGGAAUGUUGGAGAGUCCUUUUGGAGGCUGGGAGAUGCCAGGUAAAGCUCAGUGAGCACAUGCCUCUUUCAGACACUCGCCUUCCUGGCCUGAUGGACCUCAGUGGAAAUCUCAGCUCCCACCCCUACUGGUUGUGCCAUCUGGGUCAGGGUCUUGGGAGAGAAACCCUAUGAAUUGUCAGCGCCUUCCAAAAUGUGCGGAUCUGGAAUGCUGGGCUGCAGAAGCACGUAGGCCGCGAAUCUGUCUUCCAAGCACCUGCUUGUAGCUCACAUGUGCUGCCGUGGCCGUGUGACUUUCUGGUCUCGGCUGCGCACACAGCAGCUACUCUGGCGACUGGCUGUGUCUGGGGAGGAAUGCCUCGUGUGCUUAUUACUUCAUUGAUCAGAAUUCUUCCAACUGAAGUCAAAUGACCUGCACUCAUCCUGGCUGCUUCCUGGGUAUUCCUGAAUGACACAGUGGAAUGAUGCAUUGAGAACCAGCGUUUAAUUAUUGAACAGGGCCUGCCUCUGAACUGUUUGAUGAAAAGAAACACCACAGACGCACUUUCUGACCCUGGUGCCGCAUCCUUUCUUUCAUGCCUCGAUUUGUCAACAUUGAUUUGUCUUUUUCAAAACCGAACUAGAGAAUUUCAUAAAAAUUUCAUUUGUCUUGCGUUAGAACAAACACACCUCACUUAUUGGAUUGAGGUCGCCUCCUUUUGCCUCCCGGAUUCAUCCUAACAUCACUACCAAUUUGACGUUUCUGAAAUACAUCUUUCAGCUUGUCUGUUGUGGCCAGAGACCCUUCCGAACUCCGGGUAUCUACAGGUUAAAAUCUAAACACAUGAUUUUUUU
rnacentral:lncRNA from 12 species